CUGAGCCAGAUGCGAUGAAGCUCCAGCCCAAGAUGGAUGUAGGCUAGAAUCUUCCCGAUGCCAUUACAGAACACUACAACCAAAUCUAAGGAUUGUGGAUACCAGUCCUAAUGGAUACAUCUACAAAGUACACUUGUACCUAAGAUACUGGGAACACUGAAGAAGUUAGCAGUCUCAAAUAAAGGAAGUACACUGCCCAGAGUAUUCAGCAAGGGAUGGUAUAAACAUCUUCUUUCUUAAUAUGGAAUGGCUGUAGCCUGCAGAAUAGCAGAACCAAGCAAGGCCUCCAGAAUCACACAG